GUACCACAACAGACGCCACGGUACCAGCCACUGCUGAAAACACUGAUCCCAAGACAGACACCACGAUACCGGCCACUGCUGAAAAUACUGAUCCCCAGACAGACACCACGAUAGCGGCCACUGCUGAAAAUAAAG